UAUGGAUAUCCACACGAAGUCCUUGUGCUGAUCAAUCUCUCCGAAAGUGCUAGCUUAUGAAGACACCAUACUUUGGCUAAUCUAAGAGAAACAUGAAGAAGAUGAAGAAUAAAGGGACCCUCUCCUUUUCUUCCUGGAUCCAUGCAUUAGAUCUCUACGAUAGAGAUCAAGAGAAGAAUCUUUUCUUCUCAAUUCUCUCAUGUACAAGAGAGAACCUUUCUCUCUUCCUUUCACGUCUUUCUCUGAUUUUUUGUG
rnacentral:lncRNA from 1 species